UACGUAGGGUGCGAGCGUUAAUCGGAAUUACUGGGCGUAAAGCGUGCGUAGGCGGUCCCGCAAGUCCGCUGUGAAAGCCCCGAGCUUAACUUGGGAACUGCAGUGGAAACUAUGGGACUUGAAUCCGGCAGAGGGGGGUGGAAUGCCACGUGUAGCAGUGAAAUGCGUAGAGAUGUGGCGGAACACCGAUGGCGAAGGCGGCUUACUGGUCCGGUUCUGACGCUGAGGCGCGAAAGCGUGGGGAGCAAACAGG
rnacentral:rRNA from 1 species